GACGAACGCUGGCGGCGUGCUUAACACAUGCAAGUCGAACGGAGUGGCGAACGGGUGAGUAACACGUGGGUGACCUGCCCUGCACUUCGGGAUAAGCCUGGGAAACUGGGUCUAAUACCGGAUAGUGCGGGAUGGGCCCGCGGCCUAUCAGCUUGUUGGUGGGGUAAUGGCCUACCACGGCGGCGACGGUUAGCCGGCCUGGGAGGGUGGACGGCCCCCAUGGGCCUGAGACACGGCGCAGACGGCAACGGGAGGCAGCGGUGGGGAGUAUUACGCAAUGAGCGGGAGCCUGAUGCAGCGGCGCCGCGUGUGGAAUGUCGGCCUUCUGGGUGUGAACUCCUUACACCAUCGACGCGGUAGCUGGAGAAGAAGCACCGGCUAACUACGUGCCAGCCGCCGCGGUAAUUC
rnacentral:rRNA from 1 species